rnacentral:rRNA from 1 species
CUACGGAGGGGGCUAGCGUUGUUCGGAAUUACGGGGCGUAAAGCGCGCGUAGGCGGACCAGUCAGUCAGGGGUGAAAUCCCGGGGCUCAACCCCGGAACUGCCUUUGAUACUGCUGGUCUUGAGUUCGAGAGAGGUGAGUGGAAUUCCGAGUGUAGAGGUGAAAUUCGUAGAUAUUCGGAGGAACACCAGUGGCGAAGGCGGCUCACUGGCUCGAUACUGACGCUGAGGUGCGAAAGCGUGGGGAGCAAACAGGAUUAGAUACCCCAGUAGUCC